CUGAGGUCCUGGGGGUCGAGCUUUUCAGGAAGCUCUGAAACAUCUCCUGGUUCACGUGGUGUCCGGGCGCCCAGACCGUUGGGGAGGGCUGUCCGUCCUCUCCAUUGGCUGGACGUCUAGGAUUUUGCUGGGACUUCCUCAGAAGACAGUCGAGGAGGAGGUCUGCUGGCUGCCGUGUUGCUGGCACAACACGCGUUGUGGGGCCUGAAGCCGAGAACCACGGUUCCCACGGGCUUUCACUUGGCCUGCAGCACCUCCGUCCGGGUGUGGCACUCAGCUGCCCGCGCAGAUGAUGGCAAACCACUUCAAGAGCUAGGCAGGAGCCGCGAGCAGAGCCUGCAUUCCCCUGGGCGCAGUGAACCGCAGGAAUGGGCUGUAACGCCCAAGCAGCAGCGUGAGAGCCCGGCUUCCCACUGGUCUCCUCCCGCCAAAGGUCCCAGGCAGCCAGUGCUGCCUCACCUUGGUGUGUCCUGACAUGCCUCCCAGCUCGGAAGCAGAAAACCCCCCUGAGUCCUUGUCUGCCAGCCAGCACACUGUCCCCACCCGCAAGGGCCCCCCUGGAGUCCGCCGUCACUCCCCACGCUGAUGUAACUGCCCAGGAAAACUCAGAGGCCCUGCUGCACCCCAGGCCCACACUGCACGACCCUGGCCAAGUCACGCAGCCUGUCAGAGCUUCCGGUUUUCCUAUCUGCAAAACGGAAACUGGAAAAGCCAGACAGCAGGCCGGCCGACAGAGUGGAGGAGACAGCACAGACAGAGCCCUCCCUGCAGAAGCGCUUGCUCUGUGGGCCGGUUUGAGGGCAUGGAAGAGAGGAGGGCGUAGACAGAGCCCCAAACCCGCCAGGUCUGGGGGCGCACAGGGUGCGGCGGUGCAUUUAGGUUUCCCAUGGCCCCACUGCCCCCAUGACUGCUGGAGAUUGGAGCAUGUGCCCCCGUCUUCCCAAAGUCAGCUCUGUGGCCUGAACACAGACAAGCAGCCUGCACCUUCCUUGAACGCGAGAGCUCGCUUCGCUGUGCCGUCACAAGGCAUUCUUGGUUCAUUCCAGGUUAUGAAACUGAGAAAGCUGGCACAGCAGGUGUUGGCCCACUGCCGGGGUCUCAAAUGGUGAGUCCUCCCCAGCCCAGCCGAGCAGUCCUGAGCCUGGACAGGCCUGGUUCCUACGGUCGCUGAGAGCUGAGUGGGCCUUACGUUCUGUUGCAGCCACAUCUCUCAAUUCUGUUGGGAACAGCUGCCCCUGAAGACAUCACCAGCCACAGCAACUCCGCCAGAGAGACCGUCCUGAGGCUUCCUGGAGCCCUGCUCGUCUCUUUGGUCCACAGUCCUCUGGAGGCCCCGCCGAGGCCAGGCCGGACCCCCCGCACCCCCCAUUACGUUUCAUGCCAUCCGCAGGCUGCGGCUCUGGGCUCGGGCUCGCGCAGGCGCAGAGACUCGGCCGGCCGAGGCGUGCCCCGCCCUUCCACGUGCUCGUGGAGUCGCUCCUCUCUCUAAUCCUGGAUGCCCGAGGUUCUCAGGCUUUUUCAGUAUCGCUCACUCCUUUGAAAAUGUGAUGGGUCCCGAACCCUCUUCCCCAGGGGAAAAAAAUGCACGUUAGUUGUACACAUCUAGAAUUUUGCAUACAACCUCAGAGGUUUAGAGUGACACGUUGUUUAGUAUAGUCACCAGGCUCCCGGGGGCACUAGACCUGGGUUGACCUCCUCCUGUCUCCUGCUCAUUCAUGGAAGACCCCGGAUCCAGGUUCAGUCUUCCUGUCUACUUCCGCCAGCCUCCUGGUGACUUGAACGGCCUCCACUGGCUGACCCUCCAGCAAUCCAGUCUGGGCUCCUGCAGUGAGACAGCCCCGCCCCGCUGCCUCCACCGUCCCACGGCCCACAGGCUGCACCCCUCCAGCUGUCGCGGGAACACCUGAGUCAUAAAGCGAACACGCCGCUUCCAACCCACAGCCUGGCACACAGCUCUCCUCUGUCUUCCCAUGCAUCUGCUUGUUCUGUAACCGCUUUAUUGAGAUAUAAUUCACGUACCAUAAAAUUCACCCCAUAAAGUGUAUAGUUCAGUGGUUUUAGUAUGUUUGCAGAGUUGCGUCACCAUCGCUACCCUAACUUUAGACAAUU
rnacentral:lncRNA from 1 species